GUGCUCACUUUGGCAGCACAUAUACUAAAAUUGAAACAAUACAGAAAACAGUAUGGCCCCUGCGCAAGGAUGACACACAAAUUCAUGAAGCAUUCCAUGUUUUU